UUGGAAAAAAUUAAUGUAGGACCUACACUUUGGAAAUGGAACCUAUAUAAAGUGGUGGAACAUACAUUGAUUUCAUCCAG
rnacentral:pre_miRNA from 1 species